GGGGAUUUAGUUCAGUGGUAGAGCACUUGCCUAGCAAGCGCAAGGCCCUGGGUUCAGUUCCCAGCUCCG
rnacentral:tRNA from 1 species